UACGUAGGGUGCAAGCGUUGUCCGGAAUUAUUGGGCGUAAAGAGCUCGUAGGCGGUCUGUCGCGUCGGCUGUGAAAACCCGGGGCUCAACCCCGGGCCUGCAGUCGAUACGGGCAGACUAGAAUUCGGUAGGGGAGACUGGAAUUCCUGGUGUAGCGGUGAAAUGCGCAGAUAUCAGGAGGAACACCGGUGGCGAAGGCGGGUCUCUGGGCCGAUAUUGACGCUGAGGAGCGAAAGCGUGGGGAGCGAACAGG
rnacentral:rRNA from 1 species